rnacentral:rRNA from 1 species
UGGCGGACGGGUGAGUAACGCGUAAGAACUUGCCCUUUAGACUGGGAUAACAGAGGGAAACUUCUGAUAAUACUGGAUAAGUUAGUAUAUCGCCAUGAUAUGCAAAUGAAAGCUACGGCACUAAAGGAGAGCUUUGCGUCCUAUUAGCUAGUUGGUAAGGUAAGAGCUUACCAAGGCGAUGAUAGGUAGCCGGCCUGAGAGGGUGGACGGCCACAAGGGGACUGAGAUACGGCCCUUACUCCUACGGGAGGCAGCAGCU